rnacentral:piRNA from 1 species
UUAAAAAUGGAGUUGGCAGGUGAGUUUUGU